GCUGCUUUGAGUAAGGCUUACUUAAAAUAUUCAAGUAGUCACAACAAAACCAAUGACAUGAAUACACCAGUGAGAGGCAGCAGUGCGCUAAUGUGUUACUAAUGUGCAACAAAACCACAGAAGAAGAAAUGAGGACAGUUAGAGCAUGCGCAACAAGCAGUGUUUUGAAUUUGUGCUGACAUCAGUUGGCUCCAGCUAAUUGGUGAAGAAUUUGCUGAAACUGGGAAAAGAAGCAGAGACUGCUUGCAUUUUUACCUCUGGACAAAGACACUAAGGACAAGUGUUUGUGGCAACUGCCUUCUCUGAACAGCGGUCUCAUCAGCACAGGCCUCAGUACAUUGGAGAUUUAAGAGGACACUUCACACCCUACAACCCCUAAAAUAACCCAGAUUUGACAGCACUCCACACCCAUCUCGGGCCUUCCUGUUUCAUUUUGCGAUUACCCCAGAUACUUCUACUACUAACCCGCUUUGUAAGUUCUAAAAAAAAAAAUACACCUUAAACAAACACUUAAUUGUGGGAAAAUGUAA